AGCUCAACAAACUAUUAUAUGUAUAGAGAAUUGGCAGAGCAAUUCAUAUCAAAAGGAUUAUCCAAAGAUGUACUUCCUAGUUCUUCAAGUAUGUCAUUAUCUUAUGGCAGGCUAGAUUACUGAAAUAAAUAAAAAGCGUGAAAUCUGAUCUGAAACAAUUACAACAAAGUAUGCAGACUAAUGUCACUCAACUAACCUGCCGAUGAUGUGGUCGCAGGCUGUAAUAUAGGAAAUAUGUUUAUGAAUGUCAAGGAUCAUCUGUAUGUCUUAGUCAUUUAAUAACUGUCAUGUUUUGUGCCAGCCAGAUAUACGCCUCAGAAAUAUACUGAUAAAGCUCUUGGUUCCGUCAAAAACUAAAAA